rnacentral:rRNA from 1 species
GACGAACGCUGGCGGCGUGCUUAACACAUGCAAGUCGAGCGAUGAAGCACCUUCGGGUGUGAAUUAGCGGCGAACGGGUGAGGAACACGUGAAGAAUCUGCCUUCAACUCUGGGAUAACUCCGGGAAACCGGGGCUAAUACCGGAUAUGAGCCUUGAUCGCAUGAUCGGGGCUGGAAAGUUUUUCGGUUGAAGAUGACUUCGCGGCCUAUCAGCUUGUUGGUGAGGUAAUGGCUCACCAAGGCGACGACGGGUAGCCGGCCUGAGAGGGCGACCGGCCACACUGGGACUGAGACACGGCCCAGACUCCUACGGGAGGCAGCAGUGGGGAAUAUUGGGCAAUGGAGGAAACUCUGGCCCAGCGACGCCGCGUGAGGGAUGAAGGCCUUCGGGUUGUAACCUCUUUCAGUAGGGAAGAAGCGAAGUGACGGUACCUACAGAAGAAGCACCGGCUAACUAUGUG